CGAACGCUGGCGGCGUGCUUAACACAUGCAAGUCGAACGCUGAAGCACCAGCUUGCUGGUGUGGAUGAGUGGCGAACGGGUGAGUAAUACGUGAGUAACCUGCCCUUGACUCUGGGAUAAGCCCGGGAAACUGGGUCUAAUACUGGAUGCUACAUGUCACCGCAUGGUGGUGUGUGGAAAGGGUUUACUGGUCUUGGAUGGGCUCACGGCCUAUCAGCUUGUUGGUGAGGUAAUGGCUCACCAAGGCGACGACGGGUAGCCGGCCUGAGAGGGUGACCGGCCACACUGGGACUGAGACACGGCCCAGACUCCUACGGGAGGCAGCAGUGGGGAAUAUUGCACAAUGGGCGAAAGCCUGAUGCAGCGACGCCGCGUGAGGGAUGACGGCCUUCGGGUUGUAAACCUCUUUCAGCAGGGAAGAAGCCACAAGUGACGGUACCUGCAGAAGAAGCGCCGGCUAACUACGUG
rnacentral:rRNA from 1 species